AAUAGAUACCCGGGUAGUCCACGCCGUAAACGUUGGGCGCUAGAUGUGGGGGGCCAUUCCACGGUUUUCCGCGUCGUAGCUAACGCAUUAAGCGCCCCGCCUGGGGAGUACGGCCGCAAGGCUAAAACUCAAAGGAAUUGACGGGGGGCCCGCACAAGCGGCGGAGCAUGCGGAUUAAUUCGAUGCAACGCGAAGAACCUUACCAAGGCUUGACAUAUACGAGAACACUGCAGAAAUGUAGGACUCUUUGGACACUCGUAUACAGGUGGUGCAUGGUUGUCGUCAGCUCGUGUCGUGAGAUGUUGGGUUAAGUCCCGCAACGAGCGCAACCCUCGUCGCAUGUUGCCAGCACGUAAAGGUGGGAACUCAUGUGAGACUGCCGGGGUCAACUCGGAGGAAGGUGGGGAUGACGUCAAAUCAUCAUGCCCCUUAUGUCUUGGGCUUCACGCAUGCUACAAUGGCCGGGUACAAAGGGCUGCAAUACCGUAAGGUGGAGCGAAUCCCAAAAAGCCGGUCUCAGUUCGGAUUGAGGU
rnacentral:rRNA from 1 species